rnacentral:rRNA from 1 species
UGGUGGAGUGAUUCGUCUGGUUAAUUCCGUUAACGAACGAGACCUCGGCCUCUAAAUAGCCUGGCGAACCUUCGGGUCCGUACAGCGCUUCUUAGAGGGACUGGCAGCAGUAAGCUGCCGGAAGUUCGAGGCAAUAACA